GACGAACGCUGGCGGCGCGCUUAACACAUGCAAGUCGAGCGAAGCGGCGGACGGGUGAGUAACACGUGAGUAAACUGCCUUAGACAUUGGGAUAGACUCGGGAAACCGGGAUUAAUACAAAAUGGUCUAAGAUGGACUCGCGUCCCAUUAGCUAGGUGGUGAGGUAACGGCCCACCAAGGAGACGAUGGGUAGCCGGCCUGAGAGGGUGGACGGCCACAUUGGAACUGAGCAGCGGUCCAAACGCUACGGGAGGCAGCAGUGGGGAAUAUUGCACUAUGGAGUGAACUCUGAUGCAGCGACGCCGCGUGAGCUAAGAAGGCUUUCGAGUCGUAAAGUUCUUUUAUAUGGGAAGCGGUACCAUAAGAAAAAGCCCCGGCUAACUACGUGCCAGCAGCCGCGGUAAUUC
rnacentral:rRNA from 1 species